UAUGUGCCAGCAGCCGCGGUAAUACAUAGGUGGCAAGCGUUAUCCGGAUUUAUUGGGCGUACAGGGUGCGUAGGCGGUUGUGUAAGUUUGAGGUUAAAGCCCGGAGCUCAACUCCGGUUCGCCUUGAAAACUACAUAACUAGAAUGCAAGAGAGGUAAAUGGAAUUCCAUGUGUAGCGGUAAAAUGCGUAGAUAUAUGGAAGAACACCUGUGGCGAAAGCGGUUUACCAGCUUGUUAUUGACGCUGAGGCACGAAAGCGUGGGGAGCAAAUAGGAUUAGAUACCCUAGUAGUCCACGCCGUAAACGUUGAGUACUAGGUGUCGGGAAUUAUCUCGGCGCCGCAGCUAACGCAUUAAGUACUCCGCCUGAGUAGUAUGCACGCAAGUGUGAAACUCAAAGGAAUUGACGGGGACCCGCACAAGUGGUGGAGCAUGUGGUUUAAUUCGAAGCAACACGAAGAACCUUACCAGGGCUUGACAUCCAGUGCAAAGGCAUAGAGAUAUGCUGGAGGCUAACAUUGAGACAGGUGGUGCAUGGUUGUCGUCAGUUCGUGCCGUGAGGUGUUUGGUUAAGUCCAGCAACGAACGCAACCCUUGUCAUUAGUUACUAACAUUAAGUUGAGGACUCUAAUGAGACUGCUAGUGUAAGCUAGAGGAAGGUGGGGAUGACGUCAAAUCAUCAUGCCCCUUAUGUCCUGGGCUACACACGUGCUACAAUGGCUGAUACAAAGAGUCGCAAUCUCGUAAGGAGGAGCUAAUCUCAUAAAGUCAGUCUCAGUUCGGAUUGAGGGCUGCAACUCGCCCUCAUGAAGCCGGAAUCACUAGUAAUCGCGAAUCAGAUAUGUCGCGGUGAAUACGUUCUCGGGUCUUGUACACACCGCCCGUCACACCACGAGAGUUGGUAACACCAGAAGUAGGUAGCCUAACCGUAAGGAGGGCGCCUCCCAAGGGUGGGAUCAGCGAUUGGGGGUG
rnacentral:rRNA from 1 species